rnacentral:lncRNA from 1 species
UUGAGCCAGAACGGGUGAUGUCAGCUGUGCACUCCAGACCUCCAGUGCGCCUCCUCGGUCCAGGAUAUCCGGCGCCGCUUAUGCGCACUGUGUCGCUGGUGUGCGGUCACAGUCCAGUCCGGCCCGUCCCUGCUCCCCGCACCAGGUUAGUGGUGCGUGUCCCCAGUCCUGUCCGGCCCGUCCCUGCUCCCCGCACCAGGUUAGUGGUGCGCGUCCCCAGUCCAGUCCGGCCCGUCCCUGCUCCCCGCACCAAGCCAGUGGUGUGUGCCCCCAGUCCAGUCCGGCCCGUCCCUGCUCCCCGCACCAGGUUAGUGGUGCGUGUCCACAGUCCUGUCCGGCCCAUCCCUGCUCCCCGCACCAAGCCAGUGGUGCGUGUCCCCAGUCCUGUCCGGCCCAUCCCUGCUCCCCGCACCAGGUUAGUGGUGCGCGUCCCCAGUCCAGUCCGGCCCGUCCCUGCUCCCCGCACCAGGUUGGUGGUGCGUGUCCCCAGGCCAGUCCGGCCCGUCCCUGCUCCCCGCACCAGGUUGGUGGUGCGUGUCCCCGGUCCUGU